UACGUAGGGUGCAAGCGUUGUCCGGAAUUAUUGGGCGUAAAGAGCUCGUAGGUGGCCUGUCGCGUCGGCUGUGAAAACUCGGGGCUCAACUCCGAGCUUGCAGUCGAUACGGGCAGGCUAGAGUUCGGCAGGGGAGACUGGAAUUCCUGGUGUAGCGGUGAAAUGCGCAGAUGUCAGGAGGAACACCGGUGGCGAAGGCGGGUCUCUGGGCCGAUACUGACACUGAGGAGCGAAAGCGUGGGGAGCGAACAGG
rnacentral:rRNA from 1 species